GAAAGAUCCGAACUCCGCAACAGGGUCGCACCGCAAACGCGCAGUUGGCUGACGUCAGAGAAAUCUUCAGGAAACGGUAGGGGAAUACGAGAGCACGCCCAGGCGCUGUCCGGACAGGGCUGUGUCUUUCGAGUUUCUUGUCUUUUUAGAAAGCGAGCGAGUCCUGUCGAGUUCCUUUACCUGCGAGGAAGACCGUGACGAGCCUUCUGGAAAUGCUACCCGCGAAAACGCUGAGAAUCCCUCCUCUUCACACGAGGAACUGAGCUGCAGCUCGCAGCACCCGAAUGGCGAUUCAGCCAUUCAUGUCUCUACAUGUUGGCAUUGAAUCGGCGACGAUUUGCGUGGUUGCUGGCUCGUGGAACUCUGCAGUUCUUGCUAAAUCGAGUCGGGUCGUCAGAAAUCCAUCUCCUGUAAGACUUUUCUGCGUUGCGCACAGUUCUGGAGGGAAGCGGCAUGGCGGCUUGGCCCUGCCGGGGAGCCUCGGGCAGCGCCUCCGUCGAAAGCGAAAAAAAGGGAAAAGCGACACUUGCGGUGUUCUGCUGUGGCGGAAAAAGAACAAACGCAGGAUACGUCAAGAGGGAAACGCGCUGAGGUCGUUUGCAAGAUCCGAAACGCCGCACCAGUGCGCAAAAGGGGGGGCCCUGGAAUGUGUGGAACUUUUUUGUUCACACCGGGAAACCACGACGUCGUUCAACUCCGAGCUGUUUUCUCCACACAAAACGGUGGUACCGACGAGUUUCUGGCCAAGCUUCGAGAGCGAACCGCUUCGUCAGAGACCUUUCCGUUGAAUGAAGAGGCCCUGCUUCUUUCGCGGCUUGGCAGCAAGGAAUGAGACUCUCGAACCUUUGCAGCGAAAAGGACUUGCACCGUGCAAGGCGAAAAAAGAAGUUCGGACUGCGAUGCUGACUCCUACAAGGCUGUCGGAUCUGUCUGCCAGGGCAAAAACCACAGUCGGCUUCGGUACACUUCGAGUCCGAGUCUCCUCCUCCCCUGAUGAACGGCAUCUUGCGAAAGUCUUAAACCAAGGAACUCACUCUCUCGCGUUACACACAGACAGACCGACCGCCGCGCGAAACUUUGAAAAGCAAACGUACAUUCUUUUAGGUCUUUUAGAGACAAUUGACAACCUUGUGUCUCCGCGACGCUUGCGAGCGCGUAAAAACAUCAGUAUUCGUGCUGCGCAGGCUCGGUGAAAGAUACGAACCAUGGGAGGCUGAGGAGAAGCUGUGUGAAACGCAUGAGGAUUGCCAGAGUGCGAAUUUGUUCAACCUGCACCAGCUGGAGAGAGGCUUCUUCCCCGACGCGUCGCAUCUUGAAACACAGAGAAGUGUACCAUCUUCUUUCCUCAAGUUUUCUGAGUUUUCACGAUUUUGCGCAGCUCCAAAAAUCAUUUCAAACUGAAGAAAACUG
rnacentral:lncRNA from 1 species